rnacentral:lncRNA from 1 species
AUUUUAAACCCCCUCCCUGAAUUUUGUAUAUAUUUGUUUGACCCUACCUGGGCUUCAAUUUCUCACUCAAAAUCGUGACCCCACCCAUCAUGUCAAUCACAUCUUUGCAAACUCAUUUUUCUCUCACACAUACAGAGGCGUGGAACCAAUUUUAAAGCUACACAAUUAGCCACUUCUCUUAACUUGUUCACAGACCUGGACACAAAAUGUGCUGUUCAUUCUCAUUCUUCUCUCUUCUACUGCUCAUUUCUUUUCUUUUAAUCUCUUCUGUCUCCACAAACCAAAAUGCAAGUAAAAACCAUCCCGACAAGAAUCUGUUUCCUGGUAACAUGGAUCCACUCGAACUAGAAACCUUGUUCAAGAUAAUGGAUUCUAUGUCAUCUGAUCAAAACUGGAGAAUUUUACACCCACACCCAUGUAAUCCAGGCUCUUCUUGGCUAGGAAUCGAGUGCAAAACAGGAAUUGAUAACCAUUUUCAUGUUACCAGGCUUGAUUUUGGUACCCCACCAAACCCAACUUGCAAGAACACUGCAACAUUUCCUUCAGAAAUUUUUGAACUCCCAAAUCUUGAAUCCAUUUUCAUUUUCCAGUGUUUCAGUCAUACGCAGACAGCAAUUUCUUUUCCCAUAGAGAAGAUGUCCAGUUC